GCUAACUAGGAUUCCCUCAGUAAGGGCGACUGAAGCGGGAAGAGCUCACCGUGUGAAUCUGUACAGGUUUGUCCUGUGCCGAGUUGUGGUCUGUAGAAGUACUGUCGGUCGGCGAUGUGGGCCAAGUUCCUUGGAAAAGGACAGCUGAGAGGGUGAGACUCCCGUUCUUGCCUGCGUUGUGCGAUCAUGGCACGUACCUUCGACGAGUCGAGUUGCUUGGGAUUGCAGCUCAAAUUUGGAGGUAAAUUCCUUCUAAAGCUAAAUAUUGGUGGGAGACCGAUAGCGUACAAGUACCGUGAGGGAAAGAUGCAAAGAACUUUGAAAAGAGAGUUAAAGAGUACCUGAAAUCGUUGAAAUGGAAGCGAAGGAAUCCAGUGUCUUGCCCUACCAUACUUCUUCUGUCUCUCGAGGCAGGGGCGCUGUGGCUGGGUGCGGGCCAUUGUGGGCUCAUCUCGGUAGAAACUGUUGUUCAGGAGGCAGGCCAAUUUCUGGUCGAUUACUGUUCAUCAACGUGCUGGGUUGGGUUUGCAAUGGCGAAAUGGAUUUCUUUACCCCGUCUUGAAACACGGACCAAGGAGUCUAACAUGUGUGCGAGUAUAGGGGUGGCAAACCCCCAUGCGCAAUGAAAGUAACAGUGGUAGGACCUUUUGGGGCACUAUCCGCCGGCCACAAUCCUUCGGGAGAAAGGUCUGAGUGUGAGCAUAUAUGUUGGGACCCGAAAGAUGGUGAACUAUGCCUGAAUAGGGUGAAGCCAGGGAAACUCUGGUGGAGGCUCGUANCGAUUCUGACGUGCAAAUCGUUUCGUAA
rnacentral:rRNA from 1 species